rnacentral:rRNA from 1 species
UACGUAGGGUCCGAGCGUUGUCCGGAAUUACUGGGCGUAAAGAGCUCGUAGGUGGUUUGUCGCGUUGUUCGUGAAAACUCACAGCUCAACUGUGGGCGUGCGGGCGAUACGGGCAGACUAGAGUACUGCAGGGGAGACUGGAAUUCCUGGUGUAGCGGUGGAAUGCGCAGAUAUCAGGAGGAACACCGGUGGCGAAGGCGGUUAGCUGGGCAGUUGCUGACACUGAGGCGCGACAGCGUGGGGAGCAAACAGG